rnacentral:piRNA from 1 species
UGAAUCCAAUUUAGAUGUAGC